CGCGGGCCCGGACAACGGGGGCCGCCGAGGGACAAACUCAGCGCGGGCGCCUUUCGCGCGGGGCUCCGGGCGGCCUCGACGACCAGGGGCGGGGGCCCGGGGCGGGGGCUCGGGAGGGGCGGGCGCCGAGUCUCCCUGGCAACCCGGAUCGGGGAGCGGCUGGGGGCGAGGCCCGGCUGUGAGCGGCGAGGAGGCCGAGGGGCGGGCCAUGCCUGGGCUGGGGGCGAGCCCCUGCGCUCCGGAACAGGCCGUCGCUUUCACUUCCCUAGUGGCGUCUCCCACCGCCGCGCCCGCCCUUCUGUCCCCUCGCCGUGCUCGCUGGUGCGGGGUGCCGGGCGCGCUCCCACCUCCGGCCCUUUGCACUGGCUGUGCCCCUUGGCGGGUGCCCCCCAGACACCGGCGUGGCUUUCUUCUCGCUUUUCUCCAGUCUUUGCUCAAAUGUGUCACCUGCCGGGACGCCUUUCUCAAUAGCACUUCUUUCCACCUGAUCAACUGUAGGGCCGGCUCCACAGAAGGGACGCCUGUGUCUCGUUCCCAGAUGGCCUCAGGACAGCGCCUGGCGCACAGGUAUUCCAUAAACACUCGUGCCCUGAAUGCAGAGGACAGGCCAGUUCCGGGGUCGAAGGAGGACCGCCUCCGUGCCACAGUGUGACCCACGGGAUCAGGGAGUCAGGCCCGCCAGGGGUGGCCUUGUUUCUGAAAACGAAGGAAGCCUAACCCCCCCGCCCCCCGCCCCAUCCCACAAAAUAAGUCAGCCAAACAUUCACUGUCACCCAGCACAGGCCGGGGUCGAUUCUGAGGUUACGUCCAGCCCAAUCAUGCAUUUAUUGAUGUACCCACUCAACAGAACAUUCACUGAGCACCUGCUGCGCGCCGGACCUUGUGAUGCCUGCGAGAACACAACGUGGACAGACGGUGAAAAUGGCUCCGUGGCUCCAGGAGACACCGCAGUCCCAUGAGACUGGGCCAGGGGCUGGGUUCCUGGGGUGGUGCUGGCUCUGCCUUGGAAGACAGACAGGGUUUCCUAGGGGAAACCAAUCCUAGGGGAUUUGGGCCAGGGCUCUGAGGAACGAAUAGGAGUAGGUUGGAGUUGGGCUUCCCACAAAAGCACUGGAACCAAAACGGAGCCUAUGUAUAAAGGAUCUUGAAUGGCAAGAGGUUAGGGACAAGGACUUGUCUGCCAGCCAGUCUUGUCCCCCUCAAGGUCGAGGGGUGAUUGCAAGGCAGGCAUUCCUGCUCUGACCACUGGCAUGUAUGCUGGUCCCAUCACUGGGAAUCCAGGAAACCCCAGGUCCAGGGAAGGGCAGUUUGCUUCCGGCUUCUCAUGCCCAGGCCUAGCUCAUUUCACUCUACAAACACGUUCAUGCUUUCAUUCUGCAGAAGUCUAUGAGGUAUCGCCCAAGAGGCCUCAGAACCAGCAGGCCUGUGUUCUAGACCCGCCAAGCAUUGCUGGCUGUGCGGCUCGAGGUGGGUCACUUCAUUCUCGGUACAGAUAGCACAACCUGCCUCGGGGUUCUGGGGCUGCAUGAGGCUUGGAGGACACAGGGGUACCCAUGGCGCCUCCCGGGUCCCCAUGGGACCUUGCUGCCUGCCCUGAGUUCACCUGCCCCUAGCCCACCCCUCCCAGCCCAGCCUCACUGGUUCCCUUGGGUGGGCCCAGCUGCAGCCCACCUCAGGACCCUUGUCUGGUCAUGCCCUCUGCUGGGAGUGCCCUUCCCACUGUCCCUUCUCUUUCCUUGCUUCUCCGGAGGCUGCCCCAACCCCUUCCUGAGAGGGUCCCCUCCCAUACUGCACCCUGAUGCCAGCACCCCCUUUCCUUCUCCUGGAGCCAUCCCCUACAGCAAUCCAGGAGUAGCAACGACAUUGCCCUAAACCUGAGACCACGGCUCAUCCUAAGUCAGUGUCCCACAGAUUCUUGAAUACAUGAAUAAUUAGUGAGUCCCUGCUGGGUGCCGGCCCCUGGAACAGGAAGCAGGAUUUUUUUAGGAUUAUAUCCUAAGACCAGGAGCUCAGUAAGCAGGGUGCGGUGUUGGGAGGUGGGGAGGGGGGAGCUGAAGUUCAAUCUUCUAGCAAGCACGACAACGUGAGGGCAAUUGAGAAACCCCCCCCCCCCCACCUUACAUUUGAGACUGAGGGCGCACAUGAGUUCAUGCACGAGGCCAGGACUCGAGCCCCAAUCAUUGGGCCUCUGUGUCCUCUGCAUGGGCCCCUGCCUGCGGGCUACCCUGGAACUGGGGCAUUGGAAUGCCGGCUCAGGCAAUGUCUGCGUAUAACCCCAUGGCUCUGAGGUUCUGGGGCCCUCAGGUACCCAUUUUUGGCCGGGUGGCUGCCAUGCUGCUGAUGGGACAGAUGGGAGGGUGCUCUGAUGGCCUGGCACAAUGAAACACAGGGGACUCCUGAUGGAUUUCCCAGCAUUUCCUUGAAAGGUCUUGGACUGUGGAUCAUGGAGAGCAUCCUCUCCUUCCGCUGCCCCAGGCUGAGUCAGGAGCCUCCUGGCAGGAGCAGUCAACAACCAUCGGAGCUUCCCCCUGGGCAGGUGACUCUGGCUCUUUCUGGGUUUCCUCCUGUCCCCUGGGACACAAUAGCUUUCACCUCUGAGUGGGGACGAUUCAGGGGGUAAGGCCUCUCCUAACCCUCUUCCAGGGUCAGCUUUUUUUUCCGGCUUUGGAGUGGGUUUUGAUUUUGGGUGAGUGACCAUGUUCAGAGCUUUUUUCUAGCUAUUUAACUUUCCAUGUGAGUGUUAGGACCUCCUCUCUGGUGGGACAAUUCCGUGGAAGUUAGGACCGGAGCGGCACUCAACUUGUUGAGCUGGUAGCAUUCGAGGCCCUGUCCUGGCCCGGGGAGGGGGGGGGUGGUAGGGGUGCUCAGGUACUCGCCUACUGAGGUGCAAAUCAGAGGCCCUGGGGGGGUUUGGGGCCAGAGCAAGGGAUUACCCACAUUGCAGGCAAGAGACUAAGGCACUGAGCAGGCAGGCCACUGUCCCACUGGGCAACAUUCCUCCAGGCCAACAGGCGACUUUUGCAGUUUUGGGGGUUUUCUUUUUAAUCUUUUAUUUGUAGUUUUUCAGUUAUGUCUUUUUAUCCUUUACAUUUAUAUUUGUUGGUCUGUAUUUUUUAUUUCUAUUUUUUCAUUUGAUUCAUACACACCCAGGGGUACCUCCUCUACCUGAACCAACAGCACUUUACCAAACGGGGUGAUCAGCACCAAAGACCCGAAGCCCAGGCCCAUCUGCAGCCUCAUCCACGAUGGCUGCUCACCUCCACGGUUGGGUCUCGGUUCCGCAUCCCGCUGGGACAUUCCUUGGCCGUGCCCUUGACACAGCGGCACGGGCUCGGAUCAGGCCAACGGAGCGCUCAGGCUUCCUCUUUGCGCUCCCCGUGCGGUCGCCGGGGCAAACACAGAGGGUGGGCCGGGAGCACUAACGGAUGCAUGAAUGAGAGGAGCAGGGGACCAGGUCGCCGCCUGCGGGAGGCGGGGCCACGGGAGAAGCACCGACGGGGGGGGACCGCGCGGCGGAGGGCGGCGCGCGGUCCCGUCCCGUGGGACCUCACUGUGCGGAGCCAGCCGCCUGGCCACGGGCUUGCGCUCGUGGCUCACGCCACCCCGUGAACAGUGCCCGGCCGCCGGGGCGGGACUGCGUCCACGGUCCCCCUCUCGCAGGGGGCCCAGGGUGACAGCUUCCGGGCCGGGUCCCGCUGGCCUGGCUUCUCCUCCGGGUCGGGGGUCCCCCCACCCCCGCUCCCCUGGCGGCGGCGGGGCCAGUAGUGCCCUGCUCACCGCGACCCCCGACACUCGCGCUGUCGGCCGCAGAGGCCGCCGCAGACUCCGGAUCUCCAGCGCCGCGAGCAGACGCGGCGGCGCGGCGGGACGUGCCCUAAUUUGUCAGAGCGGCGAACUGGACACUGAUACACCCGCUUCCGCCGGUCACGUGCGCCCUCGCCCCGCCCGCGGUCCCCCAGGCCCCGCCCCAGCAGGCUCUCUCUCCCUCCGUUGGCCAGAGCUGGGUCACAUGGUCGCCUCUAAGCCAACGGCUAGCGAGGGGAGUGGCUGAGACUACGUCGAUUCGUUCGGCCUAUCAGCUUUCGCCUUUGGCCUGGGGGUGGGCCCUAUCGUCCACCGCAAAGAACACUGCCUGCGCAGAA